rnacentral:rRNA from 1 species
GACGAACGCUGGCGGCGUGCUUAACACAUGCAAGUCGAACGGAAAGGCCCUGCUUUUGUGGGGUGCUCGAGUGGCGAACGGGUGAGUAACCCGUGAGUAACCUGCCCUUCACUUUGGGAUAACUUCAGGAAACUGGGGCUACUACCGGAUAGGAGCUCCUGCUGCAUGGUGGGGGUUGGAAAGUUUCGGCGGUUGGGGAUGGACUCGCGGCGUAUCAGCUUGUUGGUGGGGUAGUGGCUUACCAAGGCUUUGACGGGUAGCCGGCCUGAGAGGGUGACCGGCCACAUUGGGACUGAGAUACGGCCCAGACUCCUACGGGAGGCAGCAGUGGGGAAUAUUGCACAAUGGGCGGAAGCCUGAGGCAGCAACGCCGCGUGCGGGAUGACGGCCUUCGGGUUGUAAACCGCUUUCGCCUGUGACGAAGCGUGAGUGACGGUAAUGGGUAAAGAAGCACCGGCUAACUACGUG